UACGUAGGUGGCAAGCGUUGUCCGGAAUUAUUGGGCGUAAAGCGCGCGCAGGCGGUCCUUUAAGUCUGAUGUGAAAUCUUACGGCUCAACCGUAAGCGGUCAUUGGAAACUGGGGGACUUGAGUGCAGAAGAGGAGAAUGGAAUUCCUGGUGUAGCGGUGAAAUGCGCAGAUAUCAGGAAGAACACCCGUGGCGAAGGCGGUUCUCUGGGACGGUACUGACGCUGAGACGCGAAAGCGUGGGGAGCGAACAGG
rnacentral:rRNA from 1 species